rnacentral:tRNA from 1 species
GGAGAGGUACCGAAGCGGUCAUAACGGCACCGACUCGAAAUCGGUUGAGGGCAUUACGCCCUACGUGGGUUCGAAUCCCACCCUCUCCGCCA